rnacentral:lncRNA from 1 species
UGCAACCAGGAAAGCUGAUUUUUAAAAUUCGAUAUUAACUACAUUUUACAGAAGAUGAAACCAGAGCUCAAGGUCAUGUUUUAGUAAAGUGAAGGUUGUGGAAUUCAGAACCAGAUUUAUCUGACUCCAAGGUCCAAGCUUUUUACCCUCUACCAUCCACCCAGAUGUAUUUCCUGACUCAUUCAGGAGUUUAACUUUAAUUGUGAUAGCAAUAUUCUCCCAUCAGCUAAGUGAACCAGCUUGGAAAUAAGUGUAUUAAUGAAUUUCUUCACUAAAAUUUAAAAAUGCCUUUGUAUUU